CAUCACCCCCUCGUUCUGGAUCGUUCGGCCACUCCCGAGCGACACUUCGCUCAUUUCUCUCUGCCACGUAUGUCUCGAGAACCCUGCUUCUUCCGGUCACUCCACGUCUCGAGGCCCCAGUGAACACCUAACCGAGUCUACCUCGAGCCUCGCCAACACCCAGACGGCAGAAAACUCCCUGGACUCUCCAAGGACUGGACUCUCUUCUGCUGCACUGGUUUCACCUUCUAUCUGCUUCCUGGUGCCGUCAACGAGUCUGCUUCCAGUGUUGAGGGCAUCGCAUUCCCUAGGAGUGGUGUUCUGCAAGACUACCGUGGCUAGUCUCUUGGAGGGGGGAGUUAUGUAAAGGGCAGAACACCACCUGACCAUCACCCCUUGUUCUGGAUCGUUCGGCCGCUCCUGAGCGACACUUCUCACUUCUCUCGUAUGUCUCGAACACUGAUUCUUCCGGUCACUCUGUCUCGAGGCCCCACUGAACACCUAACCGACUCUACCUCGAGCUUCGCCAACACCUAGACGGCAGAGAACUCCCUGGACUCUCCAAGGACUGGCCUCUCCUCUGCUGCACUGGUUUCAUCCUCUAUCUGCUUCCCGGCGCCGUCAACGAGUCUGCCUCCAGUGUUGGUGAGAUUAGUGUUCCUCUGGCCCUCACUUGCUCUGGAGGGAGACUCGUGGUGAGAGCCGGGUGGUGUGCAAGAUGUCCUUUUGUUGUUAUAUUGUGUAUACCUGUGUUUUGCAAGUCUAGUAAGCUUGGAACCAUUCGAAGCUGUUUAUUACUGCCCCACUGGGUGAAGUGUAGUUCAUCCUGGGCCUAGUUUAAAGGGGGCAGGCCAGUGAUGGUGUUUCGCACCUCGCCCCCGCAACAAAUAGACUAAACUAAUAACUUAUUACUUAACAUUGAUUGACAGUGUGUGUUUCAUGAGGCAGUACUCCGUAAAGAGAGUAAUAGUUCUCUUCCGUGCCUGUAAUUUGAAAGGAUCGUGAAUAGUUUUGUAUUAAAGCUCGAUGGAGGAAGUUUUUUGUUCUGCCUAAUGUGGUGAUGAAAGUAUAUUUACCUUUCUUUGGCAGAAACGUAAUGGUAGAGUAGCCAGCGAUGCCUCACAGUGCAGGGCAAAGGUUACUGUGAUUUCCAACAUGCAAUUUAGGAAAGAAUGUUUUAUUAAAGAGAAGGAUAUGUUUGGUCGUACGAGUGAAAGUCCGCGUGUGUUUGAGUGAAAUGGGGAAUCUUGAUAGUUUCGAAGAAUACUUUGGCAGAGUAGGAAUUUGAAAGAACUGAUUUUCGUAACUUAUGUGUACUUUAACUUUUCAACACUACCCAAGCUGAAACAGGAGAACGUCUGAAUUUUCAAAGGAAUAAGGUUAUCUGUCGCGUGUACAGCCAACCAAAAGAUUGUACGUCCUAUAGAAUACAGAGUUCCUGGCGAGAGUGGAUGGAGUGAAAGCAAGGAAAUCCUUACGACAAGGCAGGAAGAGUGACGGGGCGAGGCCAGCUGAAAGAAAUCAAUGGUGCUUCGUGGCUGGCUGAGAGCACGUGACAGGCACUACGAGGCAAGUGACAAGAUUUCUACAUUAUCAACUGGAGAAACACUCUUGAAAACCCCGCUAAUCAUCUCUGUAGCCUUGAAGAAUAGUCGUGUGGUCAGAGAGCAGAGCGUUUUUCAAUACCAGCCAGACUGUCACGCAUCCAUCCAUCUCUCAAACCCACUAUUUCAUAAGGCUUUACUUAAAUGUACACAAGUUUUCUAAGGUGUUUUUAUGGUUUUAGAGGCAGUGACAAGAUUAUCAACUGGAGAAAUACUUUUGAAAACUCAGUAAUCAUCUCUGUAGCCAUGGAAAAUAGUUGUAGUGAGAGCAGUGUGUUUCUGAAUACGGAACAAACUGUCACGCAUCCAUCUAUCUCACACAAACGUUGAAGUAGGAAUAGUAAUUAAGCAUAACGUGAGUAUUAAUUGGAGUCCUGCCGCAGAUCAUGUUGGUAAUACGAAGAUAAAGCUACGGCUGGUGAACUGCCCGGUAACGUUUUGUAGCAUUGAACUGGUGUUGCAGUAUGUAUUCCUAUGUUUCUUCUUGUCUUUUUAUCAUGUUAAUCACUUUUUAUCAUGUUAUUCAAUUCAAUUGUUCUUAAGCAUUAUGUUGUCAUUGAUGUGUUAUAGCCAAGGUUUCAAACACUACACACACUCGCGCACACUCACACACGCACGCACACACAGAUAGGUGGCUUUUUUUUCCCCUGAAGCUAGUCUAUCCUUACUUACCUCUGUGUCGGGUCCGGGAACAUGACAGCGGCCAGCCAUGAGAAUCAAUAGUUGACUAACCACAUUAUUUUUUUCCCUGACCAAAAGAAAACUUGCGAAAUGUUGUAAAAGAAAAUGAGAAGUAAAAUAAAAAAUCAGAGUGGGAAGUCUUUUGGAAGAACGCAAGGAAGUUUUAUUCUUUUAGGUAUUGAUGCUUAAAGUCUGAACGUGUCUUCGUUAUUAAAUGAGAUGAAAAAUAAAAAGCGUAGAUGCCCCCAGAGUUCAUCAGGGAUGGCGGCAAAUGCUUCCAUUACUGAUGCAGUGGAAGGCGUCUUUGCGUUGUGAAAGGUGUGAAAAAUAGAGGAAGCUUGAUUGCGCCUGGUUCUGGAGGGAUCGCGAAUCAGUCUUGCAUUAUUGAGGUGGACAGGGCAGGGAUGAGGUGUGAUUUCUGUAAUGUCUUGUUCAAUAAAAAUAGUGAAAAGUGGGACAGUUUCGUCUAGUAUAGAAUUUUUAAAAAGUAAGAAUGAAAAUAUUUGUAAAACAAAAGGAACAGUUCGGUGAGUCUAGAGGUUGAAAAGGCACUGACAUAAAGGAGGGGAGCUGGUGAGACAGUGUCUUCAGCUUCACCCUGUUGAGUGGGUACUACACAUGAGGGUCAUAAUUCUUGCAGUAAUAGAUAAUAGCCUUAGCUGGAAGGAGCUUAUGGGACGGGGGAGAAUAACUGAUGUGAAGGACGCCCAACUCCCACUGGUAUUCAAGCUGAUUCACUUCUUUGCCACUUCUUUUUACUGUGUACAACAUUUAUUGUAGGAUCUUAUCGAGUCUGGAAUUAAAGAUAUCGUUGUCAUUGAGUUAAUAGUCAACUCUUUCCUCUCAUCCACUGCAAAUAUUUUUUCCAUCCACUGGAAAUAUGCCUUUCUUUCAUUAGC
rnacentral:lncRNA from 1 species